rnacentral:rRNA from 1 species
UACGUAGGGGGCAAGCGUUGUCCGGAUUUAUUGGGCGUAAAGAGCGUGUAGGCGGCCAGGUAGGUCUGCUGUGAAAACUCGAGGCUCAACCUCGAGACGUCGGUUGAAACCAUCUGGCUAGAGUCCGGAAGAGGAGAGUGGAAUUCCCGGUGUAGCGGUGAAAUGCGCAGAUAUCGGGAAGAACACCCGUGGCGAAGGCGGCUCUCUGGGACGGUACUGACGCUGAGACGCGAAAGCGUGGGGAGCGAACAGG